rnacentral:rRNA from 1 species
AGAGUUUGAUCCUGGCUCAGGAUGAACGCUGGCGGCGUGCCUAAUACAUGCAAGUCGAACGAAGUUUUUAGGAAAGCUUGCUUUCCAAAAAGACUUAGUGGCGAACGGGUGAGUAACACGUAGAUAACCUGCCCAUGUGCCCGGGAUAACUGCUGGAAACGGUAGCUAAAACCGGAUAGGUGGCUUCGAGGCAUCUCGGAGACAUUAAAAUGGCUAAGGCCAUGAACAUGGAUGGACCUGCGGCGCAUUAGCUGGUUGGUGAGGUAACGGCCCACCAAGGCGACGAUGCGUAGCCGACCUGAGAGGGUGAACGGCCACAUUGGGACUGAGACACGGCCCAAACUCCUACGGGAGGCAGCAGUAGGGAAUUUUCGUCAAUGGGGGGAACCCUGAACGAGCAAUGCCGCGUGAGUGAAGAAGGUCUUCGGAUCGUAAAGCUCUGUUGUAAGAGAAAAACGGAUCAUGUAGGGAAUGACAUGAUAGUGAUGGUAUCUUACCAGAAAGCCACGGCUAACUACGUGCCAGCAGCCGCGGUAAUACGUAGGUGGCAAGCGUUAUCCGGAAUGAUUGGGCGUAAAGGGUGCGUAGGUGGUACAUUAAGUCUGAAGUAAAAGGCAGCAGCUCAACUGCUGUUCGCUUUGGAAACUGGUGAACUAGAGUGCAGGAGAGGGCGAUGGAAUUCCAUGUGUAGCGGUAAAAUGCGUAGAUAUAUGGAGGAACACCAGUGGCGAAGGCGGUCGCCUGGCCUGUAACUGACACUGAGGCACGAAAGCGUGGGGAGCAAAUAGGAUUAGAUACCCUAGUAGUCCACGCCGUAAACGAUGAGAACUAAGUGUUGGAGAGAUUCAGUGCUGCAGUUAACGCAAUAAGUUCUCCGCCUGGGGAGUAUGCACGCAAGUGUGAAACUCAAAGGAAUUGACGGGGGCCCGCACAAGCGGUGGAGUAUGUGGUUUAAUUCGAAGCAACGCGAAGAACCU